UAGGGAAUAUUGGACAAUGGGUGAGAGCCUGAUCCAGCCAUGCCGCGUGCAGGAAGAAGGCGUUAUGCGUUGUAAACUGCUUUUUGCCAGGGGAUAAAAUGACCGUGCGCGGUUAAUUGAAGGUACCUGGUGAAUAAGCCACGGCUAACUACGUGCCAGCAGCCGCGGUAAUACGUAGGUGGCAAGCGUUGUCCGGAUUUAUUGGGUUUAAAGGGUGCGUAGGUGGCCCUGUAAGUCAGUGGUGAAAUAUCUCAGCUUAACUGAGAGGGUGCCAUUGAUACUGCAGGGCUUGAGUACAGAUGAGGUAGGCGGAAUUGACGGUGUAGCGGUGAAAUGCAUAGAUAUCGUCAAGAACACCGAUAGCGAAGGCAGCUUACCAAGCUGUAACUGACACUGAGGCACGAAAGUGUGGGGAUCAAACAGGAUUAGAUACCCACGUAGUCCCUGAGCGGGCUGGCAAGGCGCAU
rnacentral:rRNA from 1 species